GAGCAGAAGAAAAUUCUAACUGGGCCCCACCUGCAAGGUGAUGUGCUGUUUAUCUUGAUAUGAGAUCACCAUGUCUCGCACAUAUGGUUGUGAUGCAUGUGCCUGGUGUACCCUUAUCAGACGGGUAGUCAUGAGGGGUAUAUUGGUCUUCGUAUAUUUACCCACCCCAUCUUCA